CAGUCGAGGGGCAGCAUGGUCUUAGCUUGCUAAGGCCGAUGGCGACCGGCGCACCGUUGAGUAACACGUAUCCAACCUGCCGUCUACUCUUGGACAGCCUUCUGAAAGGAAGAUUAAUACAAGAUGGCAUCAUGAGUUCACAUGUUCACAUGAUUAAAGGUAUUCCGGUAGACGAUGGGGAUGCGUUCCAUUAGAUAGUAGGCGGGGUAACGGCCCACCUAGUCUUCGAUGGAUAGGGGUUCUGAGAGGAAGGUCCCCCACAUUGGAACUGAGACACGGUCCAAACUCCUACGGGAGGCAGCAGUGAGGAAUAUUGGUCAAUGGGCGAGAGCCUGAACCAGCCAAGUAGCGUGAAGGAUGACUGCCCUAUGGGUUGUAAACUUCUUUUAUAAAGGAAUAAAGUCGGGUAUGGAUACCCGUUUGCAUGUACUUUAUGAAUAAGGAUCGGCUAACUCCGUGCCAGCAGCCGCGGUAAUACGGAGGAUCCGAGCGUUAUCCGGAUUUAUUGGGUUUAAAGGGAGCGUAGAUGGAUGUUUAAGUCAGUUGUGAAAGUUUGCGGCUCAACCGUAAAAUUGCAGUUGAUACUGGAUAUCUUGAGUGCAGUUGAGGCAGGCGGAAUUCGUGGUGUAGCGGUGAAAUGCUUAGAUAUCACGAAGAACUCCGAUUGCGAAGGCAGCCUGCUAAGCUGCAACUGACAUUGAGGCUCGAAAGUGUGGGUAUCAAACAGGAUUAGAUACCCUGGUAGUCCACACGGUAAACGAUGAAUACUCGCUGUUUGCGAUAUACAGCAAGCGGCCAAGC
rnacentral:rRNA from 1 species